AUGGCCAGUCUUGUCCUGCUUGAAUCUUUCAGGGGCCCCCGACUCCUCUGCUGCAUGGCCCUCUGCCUUCUGGGGGCAGGUUCUGUGGCUGCUGGAGUCACCCAGUCCCCAAGACACAUAAUCAAAGUCCAAGGGGGGAAGGCUGUUCUGAAGUGCCACCCCAUCUCCGGACACAGCUAUGUGUACUGGUACCAGCAGGCUCUGGGACAUGGCCCCCAGUUCCUCAUUAGUUUUUAUGAAAAGCAGGAGGGACAGAAAGGAAACAUCCCAGAUCGGUUCUCAGGAAAACAGUUCAAUAACUACAGCUCUGAGCUGACCCUGAGUGCCUUGCAGCUGGGAGACUCAGCCAUGUAUCUCUGUGCCAGCAGCUUAGACACAGCCCUGCAGGGUCAAUGA